rnacentral:rRNA from 1 species
GAAUGGGAUCUCUUAGUAAUGGCGAAUGAAAAGAGAUGUGCUUAGUGUCAAAAUCAGGUUAUCCUGAAUUGUAGGCUGUAGGGGUGAUGCCAACUUGGGUGCAGGUGAAAGUCUCUUGGAAAGGAGCACCAGUGAGGGUCAGGGUCCCGCCUGUCAUCUGUCAUCCCUUGUAGACGGUUUGCCCAUUGAGAGUCGUGUUCUUCUGGAAUAGAGCGCCAAACGGGUGGUACUCUUUGCCUAAGGAGCAUUACGUGCUUGAGACCAAUAGCGAACAAGUACCAUGAGGGAAGGGUGAAAAGGACUUUGGAAAGAGGGUUAAGAGGGCUUGAAGCUGCUGGAAGGGAAGUGGAUUGGACUUUUACUCCGCGGCAAGAUUGCAGGCUGUAGUCUUCACUUGUGGGGAACUGCGUACUGUGUCUCUUGCCGCAUGGUUGAGCUCUGUGUAGCGCUCAGAAUCUUAGCGUGGACUGGAGAAGGGUUGCGAUCUGGACCAUGUCUUUGCCUACUCUUAGCGCAACAUUUAUCUUGACCAAAUAGUUCAAUUUUACCCGUCUUGAAACACGGACCAAGGAGUCUAAUGCGUGUGCGAGUGUAAGGGAUUGACACCUGACAGCUCAACAAAGGUGACUGCUGGGAUUCUUGCACCAGCAACCAACUGAUCGCUUAGGAGAUGUUUGUGUAUGAGCACACUUGCUAGGACCCGAAAGGUGGUGAACUAUGCCUGAGAAGGGUGACGUCAGGGGAAACUCUGAUGGAAGCUCGUAGCGCUACUGACGUGCAAAUCGUUCGUCUGACUUGGGUAUAGGGCGAAAGAMUA